AAAAAAUUUCUCCUUGGUUGCUUCGUAUAGAGUUGAACCGUGAAAUGAUGGUUGAUAAGAAGCUGAACAUGGCUGACAUUGCCGAGAAGAUCAACCUUGAGUUUGAUGAUGAUUUGACAUGUAUAUUUAAUGAUGACAAUGCUGAAAAACUGAUCCUGCGCAUACGUAUCAUGAAUGAUGAAGCUCCAAAGGGGGAGUUGAAUGAUGAGUCAGCUGAGGAUGAUGUUUUCCUGAAGAAGAUUGAGAGUAACAUGCUGACAGAAAUGGCUCUUCGAGGUAUCCCAGAUAUAAACAAGGUGUUCAUUAAACAUGGUAAAGUAAGCAAGUUUGAUGAAAAUGAUGGAUUUAAGACAAUGGAGGAAUGGAUGCUUGAUACAGAGGGGGUCAAUCUCUUAGCUGUUAUGUGUAAUGAGAAUGUUGAUGCGAAGAGGACAACGAGCAAUCAUUUGAUUGAAGUUAUUGAAGUUCUUGGUAUCGAGGCAGUUCGUCGUUCCCUACUGGAUGAGUUGAGGGUGGUUAUUUCUUUUGAUGGAUCUUAUGUAAAUUACAGGCAUCUGGCUAUACUGUGUGACACGAUGACCUAUCGUGGCCAUUUGAUGGCAAUCACCCGCCAUGGUAUCAAUCGGAAUGACACUGGGCCAUUAAUGAGAUGCUCAUUUGAAGAGACCGUUGACAUUCUUCUUGAUGCUGCUGUGUAUGCUGAAACAGAUUACUUGAGGGGGGUGACUGAAAAUAUUAUGCUUGGUCAGCUUGCUCCAAUUGGCACAGGAGACUGUGCCUUGUACCUCAAUGAUGAGAUGCUGAAGAAUGCUAUUGAACUUCAGCUCCCAAGUUAUAUGGAUGGCCUGGAUUUUGGCAUGACUCCUGCUCGUUCCCCAGUCUCAGGAACGCCUUACCAUGAGGGCAUGAUGUCUCCAAGUUAUUUGCUGAGCCCAAGUCUACGCCUUUCACCCAUUACAGAUGCUCAGUUCUCACCAUAUGUUGGUGGAAUGGCUUUCUCUCCUACUUCAUCUCCAGGCUACAGUCCAUCAUCUCCAGGCUACAGUCCAUCUUCCCCUGGUUAUAGUCCUACCUCUCCUGGAUACAGCCCUACCUCACCUGGUUACAGCCCUACCUCACCUGGAUACAGCCCAACUUCGCCAACCUAUAGUCCUAGCUCUCCUGGCUAUAGCCCUACCAGUCCUGCCUA
rnacentral:misc_RNA from 1 species